UCCAAACUUAGCAAAAGAUG
rnacentral:misc_RNA from 1 species